rnacentral:snoRNA from 1 species
CCUAUCCAGGAUGACGAACUAAUCUCGUACAUCCUCCACGGCCUCGAUGUUGACUACCAGCCGCUCGUCUCCGCCCUCGAUGCCCGCGUCACGCCCGACACCCUCGACGAGCUCUAUGCCAUGCUGAGUAACUUUGAUC